rnacentral:rRNA from 1 species
AGGGAAAGCUGGCGGCAUGCCUAACACAUGCAAGUCGAACGGCAGCGCGGGGGCAACCCUGGCGGCGAGUGGCGGACGGGUGAGGAAUGCAUAGGAAUCUGCCCGGUUGUGGGGGAUAACGUAGGGAAACUUACGCUAAUACCGCAUACGACCUUCGGGUGAAAGUGGGGGACCUUCGGGCCUCACGCGAUCGGAUGAGCCUAUGCCCGAUUAGCUAGUUGGCGGGGUAAGAGCCCACCAAGGCGACGAUCGGUAGCUGGUCUGAGAGGAUGAUCAGCCACACUGGGACUGAGACACGGCCCAGACUCCUACGGGAGGCAGCAGUGGGGAAUAUUGGACAAUGGGCGCAAGCCUGAUCCAGCAAUGCCGCGUGUGUGAAGAAGGCCUUCGGGUUGUAAAGCACUUUUGUUCGGGAAGAAAUCCGUGUGGUUAAUACCCGUACGGGAUGACGGUACCGAAAGAAUAAGCACCGGCUAACUUCGUG